CGGGGCAAGAAGACAGGUGGUGCAUGGUUGUCGUCAGCUCGUGUCGUGAGAUGUUGGGUUAAGUCCCGCAACGAGCGCAACCCUUAUAACUAGUUGCCAGCAUUCAGAUGGGGACUCUAGUUAGACUGCCGGUGACAAACCGGAGGAAGGUGGGGAUGACGUCAAAUCAUCAUGCCCCUUAUGACCUGGGCUACACACGUGCUACAAUGGAUGGUACAACGAGUCGCUAACUCGCAAGAGCAUGCCAAUCUCUAAAAGCCAUUCUCAGUUCGGAUUGUAGUCUGCAACUCGACUACAUGAAGCCGGAAUCGCUAGUAAUCGCGGAUCAGCACGCCGCGGUGAAUACGUUCCCGGGUCUUGUACACACCGCCCGUCACACCACGAGAGUUUGUAACACCCGAAGCCGGUGGCCUAACCAAUAGGAGGGAGCCGUCGAAGGUGGGAUGGAUGAUUGGGGUGAAGUCGUAACAAGGUAGCCGUAUCGGAAGGUGCGGCUGGAUCACCUCCUUU
rnacentral:rRNA from 1 species